AGUCUGAUGACAUCUAUGGAAAACAAUUUUAUUUGCUUUUAGAAGAGCACUUGAAUAGUUCGGAUUCCUGCCCAAGGUUGCUGGCCUCCAUGCCUAACAAUCUGAUCAAAUGGAAACUUCCAUGCAGUGGGGAAGCUGCUGUAAAAGGGGUGAUCUUUCUGAACAAUGAAUCUGCCAUGCUGAGCCCAGGAGCCUUCGAGCCUCCCACUGCUAAGGACGAGGCCUGGAUGCUCUACAAUGUAACAUCUUAGUUCCACCAGUCCUGGCCACAAUCAAGACUCAGUUCAGGGGUGUCAGACCCCAAGCAAUUCCUGCCUCAGGGCCUUAGCACCGGCUGCUGCUUCUGUUCCCAACGCUGAAGCUGCCUGCCUGCGCACCUGCACCUUGCUGCUGUCACCUACUUAGAACACACCACCCUGGAGAGUGGCCUCCAUCCCAGAGGAGAGCACAGCCUCCAGAGGCCAGAAGAUGCCUACCCAGCACAUUGUCAGUGUAUUCCAGUGCUUCAUGGUCUCCGGCUCCCACCUCUAGCUUGUGACAAGACUAAUCCCCGGGAAACACGAUUCCACCCUCUUCUCGUCUGGACCCCAGAAAGCCAGUUGCCCCAGGGAAAAACAACUUACACUUCUGUGGUGAUGAAUCCGGUGAGCUCUGACAGGAAGAGGAAGAGGAUGAAGAGGCAGCAGCAGAUGGAGACUGUGGAAACACGGAGUCAGCGUUAAGGGUGCAGGAUGCUCCAGGUAGGAGGCCAGUCCUCCAUGCCCCUCCCACCACAGGGGCGGAAAACUGCUUAGAGGUCCCGGCAUGCACACAGGGUGAGGAUACCUUCCCAGAGACCAUCAAAGCCCCCUCUUACUCAUGACUUAAGUGUGUCCCCUUUUAACUUGUGGCCUCAGUAUAAGUCCCCCAGAAAGUCGCCAUUGACCUGACUCUGAGGUCAGGGUGGGCCUCAGAACACAGGCAACAGACUCUGCUAGGCUCCUAAAGAUCUCUUUGUAUGCUGGUGCACCACGAGGGACUCUGUCCACAGUGAACAUCUGGGAGAUACCGUGUGACUAUCUGGAUUCCUGGCUUCUGUGAAACACAUGGCCCCUGUCCCACAGCCUGCCACUGUCUGUCCCUCUGUCUACAGCCAGUGCCCACCUGGGCAUUGUUCGAUGUGAUAACGGUGAGGGCGGAAUCAGCAGAAGCCAUAUGGCGGUUUGGGCUCGCUUCCCAGGUUACUGAUAUGCACAGCCCUGCCCUGAUGCUAGUCAGGGGUAGUGGGUCACCGCACCUGUCAACCAGCAGUCACCAGAGGGGCAGCUAACACACCAGAGAAGCUGCCAGGCUGAGCUGAGGUGUGCCAUAGACUGGAAUUGGCCAUUUCUAUUUAUGUUACUUUGAAAUUACAGCAGGACUGCUGGGACACAAAUCGGCAUGUCACAGUAGAGACGCAACUCUGUCCAUGUCCAUCUGUGUGUUUGCCACCUACCUAACUUCCUAUCUGUCUUCAGGAAGGACCAGUGUUUACUGAGCACUUAUUACAUGCCCAUGAUGAUGCAUUAACAAACCACUCCAUCAUGACACCAUGGCACCAGCCUGAUGGGAGCUCUGGUGUAAAAAUGCAGGCUGAGGGAGAAGGGACUGGGUCCCCUUAUCCUCUACGGUCAAGGCAUCCAGAAAGACUCUGAGAACUUGGUCUUCAAGGGAAAGAAGGAACACAGAGACGGGGACUGGAAUACUUUGAACAUCUGCCCCACUUCGAAGAAGCUGUAUGGGGUAUGACAUUUAAAGGCCUUACUUUGGGGUAAAAUAGGGAAUAUGUACAUAUUAUAAACAAGAAAAAAAGUUAUAACUAGGCACACAAGCACAUUAAAAAUGUUAAUAUACAUAAACAUCACACCAAUAAAUUAUGUUAUAUGUAUUAUAUAACACAUACACACACACACACACACACACACACACACACACACACGUAUAUGUUGGCAGGCCUGGUGACACACAUCUAAAAGCCCAGCAUUCAGGAGCAGAAGAACUCAGGUGAGAAGGACUGCCCAAAUUUCAAGGCUGGCCUAGACUACACAGCAAGUUCCAGGCUAGCCAGGACAGUCUCUCAGAAGCAAAACAAAAAGUAUAUAUCCACAUACAUAGAUGCAGACGUACCUAAUGCAGAUAUGUGUACUUUGAGCCCCUGUUCACUUAAGCCAAUACCCUCUUUCUGCCAUGCUUCAAACACUCAGCAAUCUGUAAACAGGUCCCAGCUCACACAGUGGCCUUGUUUUGCAUGGAGAUUAAGUUCAAAUAUCCUUUCCAGCUGUGGAAUGAGUCCCCAGAGUGGCUCAGCUACUGAUCCAGGUCCUGGCUCCUGGUCUCUCUGCCCUACAAUGGUGGUUACUGCCUCUUGGGAAAGACCCUGCCAGCAGGCACAGCAUCCUGCAGCUGUGCCCUUCUGUCCAGUGCCACCCAGGCAUCAUUUUGUCCACACCAGCCCAAGUGGAUGCUGCACUAUAUGACACAAGGAGGGUUUCCGAAGGUCAUUGCUCAUUUUAGGAUGAAUGUUGGUCCUCUAGCUGCCCUCCCUGCUCCAUGCCUGCGGAUACACCCCAAGACUUACUCAAGACUUGGUCCAAAGCCUGGUUAACCCAGCAGGUAGACAGGACCCAUGUACUUCACUGUGUAAGUGCACCUAAAUCCUGUCUCAGACUGGGGAGCCAGAGGUGAGGUCUGGGUACCACUGUAACCUCAGUGCCCAACACGGUGUUGGCUCAGAGAAGGCACAGUUAGAAACCAUGAAAGCAGGUAGCAAGUAUUCCAACCAAGGCCUUCAGAUCACAAAGGCUGGAUGAGGGCUUUCAAUCCAUGUUUGGGCAAGGCUUGGAGGCUCUCUGACUCCAGACUUCUAAAACUGACUCAGGCCCUGGGCAGUAGGAAUGUAACCCCAGGAGAUGCUUGCUAGUAAGAAGCCGGGUGCUGCCAAGUUGAAGGGGGCAAGACCUGAGACCUUACAGCCUGCAAGAAAGUCAAGGAGUCUGUCCAAGGUCACAUAGCCGGGUAAGGGAGGAGGCAAAAUCCAAAGGCUGACGUUCAAGCCCCAGAAUUUUGCUGUCUCCUUCAGCUAUUAAUAGCAGUCGUCCCACAGCGUAAUGCAAUGGUGCAGGCCUGAGCUGGCCUGCCAGGCUCGGCUGUAUGAGCCUCAAGGACGAGGACCGAAGCCCAUUCAUCAGCACUGUCCCAGCACUUGGCACAGGGCCUGGCCCUAGGUCCAGCUUAAUAAAUAUUUGUGCACUAAAUGGUAGCUAGGGGCUGGCUUCCCAUGUCUCAGACCUUCCCCUCGUGUGGUGAAAUGCUCAUCAUACCACGUUCCUGAGAGCUGCCAGGCAGAACUUUCUAAACAGUUGAAAAUGUA